rnacentral:lncRNA from 1 species
AACUUAUUCUUUUUUGAUUACUUCUCCAGUCUUGUUCCCUUCCUUAUAAGAACAUCCUUUUGAGCACAGUUUUAGUUGAUUCCUUGGUGAAUGAGUCUCAGUAAUACUUGGAGAUACUUUCUCUUGUAAUGGCCAUUCCUGUGUCAGAGCAAAGCAACCUCAUAGAAAGUUACACAGUCCCGAACUUCUCCUCCUGAUAUAUGAGCCAACGGUAUAGGUUUGUUUGUUUGUUUGUUUUAUCCAUUUUUUUUUAUAUGUAUGACAAUGUGUGUGCAUGUGAAUUUGUUUGGGUGUGGGCAUACCUGGGUAUGGUUGUGCAUGUGUGAGUGUUUGUAUAGAGGCCAGAGGUAGAUGUCAGGAAUCAUCGGAGUUGCCUUUAUACCUUAUUCAUUCAGCUAGUUCCCUCUGGGAACCCCUGCCCCUGCCUUCUGAGGCUGGGAUUAUGGGUGGGCCACCACAUCCACCGAUCAUGCAUUUGGGUUCUGAACUCCAGUACUGACUCUUGAACAAUUGAGUCAUUUCCCUUGCCCCAGAAUAUGCUAAGCAUGGCAGGUAGUACAUGCCUGUAAUUUCAGCCCUUAGGAGAUUGAGAGAUUGAGGCAGGAAUAAUGGAAUAUUUGAGGCCAGUCUGGGCUCCACAGUGAAGAUCGAUCCAAAAAUAAAAAAAGAUGGGGGAACACAUGAAACUAGUUAAAAAAAAAUAAUAUGACUAUUUUAGCAUAAAGUGAGUUGUGGUUAUCAUUCAAGUGAAGGAGAUAAAGUGAUAAAACUGAUGAGCCAAUGCUUAGAAAAAUCGGUUGCAGGGAAGCCUCAAUUCUUCAGAAGGAUAGGAUUAAAGACUUCAUUCAGAAACACAAGUCAGAGCAGGAACAUGUAAAGUCAAGUUGAUAGGUUGCUAGAAGUGAAAUCUAUAACCAAGGCAAUUUCAGUACAGCCGAGAUCUAAACUGAGCAGCUGAGUCUAAACAUUGUAAAUAAAUUAAACUAUGUCUAGAAUGAAAACAUACUGCAGUGUAAGACUGAUUUUUAAGAACAGAAAGCAGGUAAGCAAAAAUAGAAUCCAGAGUAUGUAGCAGAAAUAGGUCAAAGUCAAGUAUAUAUACUACAGAGUGAACAAAAGAAGCAGCUGUGCACAGAAUAGGAGCUCAUACAAAAUUUCUCUCAAGAGAAAACUAGGUAACUAGUUAUCUUCUAUUCUUGGUUGCUCAGUGAGAAAUGGCCUUAUCAAAGCACUCCUAAUAUAGUCUGGAAAAAAAUAUACUUUUCCUUUUUUUUUUUUUUUUUUUUUGAGACGGGGUUUCCUAUGUAGUUCUGUCUGUCCUGGGACUCACUAUAUAGACCAGCCUGGCGUUGGAUAUGCCUGCCUCUGCCUUUCCAGUACUGGGGCUAGAAUUAACAGUGUGUACCAUCACACCCAGAUAGUUGCUGAAAUUUUACUUCUUGGGAGUGAUUUAUUCGUGUGUGUGUGUGUGUGUGUGUGUGUGUGUGUGUUUAUAUAAUUUCAUGAUCUAUUUGAGCAGAGAUGUCUUACUAGGGUUCUAUUUACUGGCAGUAGUGCCCAGUAUGGUGUCUUUUACACAGCAAGAUCCUCAAGUGAUGUUAAAAGUGUUAAAACAGUAAAGCCAUUUUUUUUAAAAGUUAAAUUUCCACUACUGAAAUAUCAUAGUAUUUAAUAAAAUAAAUUUGUAUGCUUGACUUCCUCGUGCACUCAAAAGCCUAAACAUGGAGAUAAUUUUAAGUCCUGACAAGUACUAAGCCAAACUUCUCUGUGUAGGUAUUUCAUAGAUGAGGGGGAUUAGCUUUGUCUUCACACACUUGUCACAACUCUUAAACAGGUUUUGCAUUAAUAAUGAGUAUAAAUAUAAGAUUGCCAAAUCUCGGGACUAUUAAAUGGUAAAUUGUCCAUUACUAAGUUAAAAAAAGAAGAGGGAGUUCUCAUCUCUUGAGUUCCCAACACAGCAGAUCAUAGCUGUGAGCCUUUUGGAAAGAAGUAUUAGUUCUUGAACUGUUUUUUAUUUAGCUAAGAACUAUUUUGGAUGUGGGUAGGUAAACUCUUAUUUCAGGAAAAAGGCAAUAAAUCUUGCUGCAGCCCCCACCCCCAUACCUUAUUAGGCGCAGGACAGGUUAAUUUCUAUAAAAUGCAAAUGCAAAACUUUGGUUUAGCUAAAGAUUAUGAC